rnacentral:misc_RNA from 1 species
GAUGAAGAACGUAGCGAAAUGCGAUAAGUAAUGUGAAUUGCAGAAUUCAGUGAAUCAUCGAAUCUUUGAACGCACAUUGCGCCCGCCAGUAUUCUGGCGGGCAUGCCUGUUCGAGCGUCAUUUCAACCAUCAAGCCCCCGGGCUUGUGUUGGGGACCUGCGGCUGCCGCAGGCCCUGAAAACCAGUGGCGGGCUCGCUAGUCACUCCGAGCGUAGUAGUUACAUCUCGCUCAGGGCGUGCUGCGGGUUCCGGCCGUUAAAAGUCUUUUACCCCAAGGUUGACCUCGGAUCAGGUAGGAAGACCCGCUGAACUUAAGCAUAUCAAUAAGCGGAGGA